rnacentral:rRNA from 1 species
AGGACGAACGCUGGCGGCGUGCUUAACACAUGCAAGUCGAGCGAGGCCUUCCCUUCGGGGGAGUGCCCUAGCGGCGAACGGGUGAGUAACACGUGGGCAACCUGCCCCUAGCACUGGGAUAACUCCGGGAAACCGGGGCUAAUACCGGAUAUGACCUUUGAGGGCAUCCUCUUUGGUGUAAAGGAUUCUGGCUAGGGAUGGGCCCGCGGCCUAUCAGCUUGUUGGUGGGGUAAUGGCCUACCAAGGCGACGACGGGUAGCCGGCCUGAGAGGGCGACCGGCCACACUGGGACUGAGACACGGCCCAGACUCCUACGGGAGGCAGCAGUGGGGAAUAUUGCACAAUGGGCGAAAGCCUGAUGCAGCGACGCCGCGUGAGGGAUGACGGCCUUCGGGUUGUAAACCUCUUCAGCUCCGACGAAGCGAAGUGACGGUAGGAGCAGAAGAAGCACCGGCCAACUACGUGCCAGCAGCCGC